rnacentral:lncRNA from 1 species
AGAUCAUUUCCAGAGAAGGUGGUGAUAUUGGAAGGAGACAAUUACCCAUCUCUAGUCCUGACCCUUCAUUCAAGCCCCAGUGCUGCCUCAAACAAUCCAUGGCCAUGGCACCUCAAACCUCUCCUUUGCAUCACUGUCAGAGCUGUCCAGAUGGGUUCUGCUUGGUUGGUGGAUUCGCAGGCCUUGGACUGUGGGGCUGACUCGAGAUAAUUUCCACACGCCACUGAGCAUUUUUACUGGGAAGCAUUUCUUUCCUUCUCUGGGAUGAUGGUGUUAUCGGACUUGUAUAGAUUAGGAGGGAGACCUUUGGUUUCAGAAUCAGACUGACCUUAAUUCAAGUCCAAGCUACCCACUAGUAUUGGGCAAAUUAUUGUACUCAGAGUCUCAUAACACACAACUCACAAAUAUGUUAGCAAAAAUUAGAUACACGUAGAUAAUGCACACAGGAAACGU